rnacentral:rRNA from 1 species
AUUGAACGCUGGCGGCAGGCUCAACACAUGCAAGUCGAGCGGGGGAAGGUAGCUUGCUACCGGACCUAGCGGCGGACGGGUGAGUAAGGCUUAGGAAUCUGCCUAUUAGUGGGGGACAACAUCUCGAAAGGGAUGCUAAUACCGCAUACGUCCUACGGGAGAAAGCAGGGGAUCUUCGGACCUUGCGCUAAUAGAUGAGCCUAAGUCGGAUUAGCUAGUUGGUGGGGUAAAGGCCUACCAAGGCGACGAUCUGUAGCGGGUCUGAGAGGAUGAUCCGCCACACUGGGACUGAGACACGGCCCAGACUCCUACGGGAGGCAGCAGUGGGGAAUAUUGGACAAUGGGGGGAACCCUGAUCCAGCCAUGCCGCGUGUGAAGAAGGCCUUAUGGUUGUAAAGCACUUUAAGCGAGGAGGAGGCUACUUUAGUUAAUACCUAGAGAUAGUGGACGUUACUCGCAGAAUAAGCACCGGCUAACUCUGUGCCAGCCGCCGCCGUAA